rnacentral:rRNA from 1 species
GGGAGGUAGUGACAAUAAAUAACAAUAUGGGGCCCUUACGGGUUUCGUAAUUGGAAUGAGUACAAUUUAAAUCUCUUAACGAGGAACAAUUGGAGGGCAAGUCUGGUGCCAGCAGCCGCGGUAAUUCCAGCUCCAAUAGCGUAUAUUAAAGUUGUUGCAGUUAAAAAGCUCGUAGUUGAAUUUCGGAAUCUGUCCGUUGGUCGGGCUUCAUUGUCCGUACUGAUGUGAUGGGUUCUUACCUUCUGAAUAACCAUUAUGCCAUUAAUUUGGUUAUUGGGGAAGCAGGACUAUUACCUUGAAAAAUUAGAGUGCUCAAAGCAGGCUAGUGCCUGAAUACAUUAGCAUGGAAUAAUAAAUAGGACGGCAUGGUUCUAUUUUGUUGGUUUCUAGGAUCACCGUAAUGAUUAAUAGGGAUAGUUGGG